UGUGGUUCCAGCUACUUGGGAGGCUGAGGCGGGAGGAUUGCUUGAGCCCAGGAGUUGGAGGCUGCAGCCAACUAGGAUUGUGCCACUGCACUCCAGCCUGGGCGACAGAGUGAGACCCUGUAUUAAAAAAAAAAGAAAAGAGGGCCAGGCACAGUGGCUCAUGCCUGUAAUCCCAGCACUUUGGGAGGCCGAGGCAGGCGGAUCACCUGAGGGCAGGAGUUCAAGACUAGCCUGGCCAACAUGGCGAAACCCAGUCUCUACUAAAAAAUACAAAAAUUAGCUGGGCAUGGUGGUGGGUACCUGUAAUCCCAGCUACUAGGGAGGCUGAAGCAGGGAGAAUUGCUUGAACCCAGGAGGCGGAGGUUGCAGUGAGCUGAGAUCACACCACUGCACUGCACUCCAGCCUGGGCAACAGAGCAAGACUCUGUUUUAAAAAAAAUCACCACGGAGGAACAGACAGACAUGUGUGGCUUUAGCUGUUACACUGAGAAGGACACAGUAUCACUUACACAGUCUUCCAGCCAGGAAUGCAUAAUCCAUAUAUUAUAAUGAAGAAACAAGUAGACAAACCCCAAAUGAAGAAUGUUCUAUUAAGAUAAAGGGGAAGAUUGAAUUCUUCAAUAAUAUCAACACCAUGCAGACAAAGAAAGGCUAACCAUUCCCGAUUAAGGGAUACUAGAGAGAAACAACAACCGAAUGCAAUACAGCAUUCUUAGACUUGAUCCUGUGCUAGAGGAGAAAUGGCAUCUAAAGGGUGUUACUGAGACAAGUGACAAAGUAACUUUGAUACCACAUUGGAUCAGUGUGAAAUUUAAUGCAGUGGAUAACUGUACUGUGGGAGGAAACACACUAUUUAGGGGUAGAGGAACAUGAGGUCUGCAACUUAUUCUCAACUAGAUUGGAAUCAAAGUCAUCUGUAUAUACCUUAAAUAGAGAGAUGGCCAGUGACAGAGAAAUGGGGUAAAAUGUGAACACCAGGUGAAUUUGGGACAAAGGCUAUGCAGAUGUCCAUUGUACUAUUCUUGAGACUUUUCUGUAACUUUGAAAUUAUUUCCAAAUAAAAAGUUAAACCAGGAAGGGCAUGGUGGCUCAUGCCUGUAAUCCCUUUGGGGAUUUGUAAGCACUUUGGGAAGCAGAGGAGGGUGGAUCACUUGAGGUCAAGAGUUCGAGACCAGUCUGGCCAAUAUGGUGACACUCUCUCUCUACUAAAAAUACAAAAAUUAGCCAGGUGUGGUGGCACGCGCCUGUGAUCCCAGCUACUUGGGAGGCUGAGGCAGGAGAAUCUCUUGAUCCUGGGAGGUGGAGGUUGUGGUGAGCGGAGAUUGCGCCAUUGCACUCCAGCCUGGGCAACAAGAGCGAAAC
rnacentral:lncRNA from 1 species